GGGUAGUGUAAAUGAUGUAGUUGUGUGUGCAUGCAGGCACACAGGGAUAUAAUGGUAUACAUACUGUAUAUAAAAUAAGAACAGUCCACAGGUGUUGAACACCACACAAUAUUUCAAUGAACACCCUCAGUUUCUUUUGGUACUUUCUUCAGGACUAUGUCUAUUCCAAUGACAGAGCUAUGCAGAUAGCUUGAUCUGUGUGAAUGGCUUCAAGAUAAAUGGACUAGAAAACAAAGGAAAAAAAAUGUGGGUAUUUUUGGUUGGAUGCCAAAGUCCACACCUUGCUUUUAAGCAUUCACAUUUUGGUAACUAUUACACAGGAAAAGGGCUGCAGGAAGAGGGUGGCAGUCGUCCAACAACCGCC